rnacentral:misc_RNA from 1 species
AACGCACAUUGCGCCCUCUGGUAUUCCGGGGGGCAUGCCUGUUUGAGCGUCAUUUCUCUCUCAAACCCUCGGGUUUGGUAUUGAGUGAUACUCACAGUCUACUUUGAGUUUGCUUGAAAAGUAUUGGCAAGAGCGGCACUACGGGUGUCUGCUUCAUUUACGGCUGUUUCAAUGUAUUAGGUUUUACCAACUCGUUGAACUGGCUUGAGCAGAAACAAGUUUUGUCUAUGGCUCGGCCUUACAACACCAAACACUAAGUUUGACCUCAAAUCAGGUAGGACUACCCGCUGAACUUAA